AGGACGAACGCUGGCGGCGUGCUUAACACAUGCAAGUCGAACGGUAAGGCCCUUCGGGGUACACGAGUGGCGAACGGGUGAGUAACACGUGGGUGAUCUGCCCUGCACUUUGGGAUAAGCCUGGGAAACUGGGUCUAAUACCGAAUAGGACCACGGGAUGCAUGUCCUGUGGUGGAAAGCUUUUGCGGUGUGGGAUGGGCCCGCGGCCUAUCAGCUUGUUGGUGGGGUGAUAGCCCACCAAGGCGACGACGGGUAGCCGGCCUGAGAGGGUGUCCGGCCACACUGGGACUGAGAUACGGCCCAGACUCCUACGGGAGGCAGCAGUUAGGAAUUUUGGGCAAUGGGCGCAAGCCUGACCCAGCAACGCCGCGUGGGUGACGAAGGCCUUCGGGUUGUAAAGCCCUUUCUGAGGAAGAUGAUGACGGUACCUCGAGGAAGAAGCACCGGCUAACUACGCGCCAGCAGCCGC
rnacentral:rRNA from 1 species